GAAUUUUUUUAAUCAAAACAUGACAAGUGUCAUAUCAAAUUCACCUUUAGUAUUAUGUUAUUGAUCAAACCGUUACAUUUUUUAUUAUUCAUGUAUCUUUAUUACUUCCAUUAAUCCAUCAAAACAAUCCAAACUUUGUGUAAUCAUUAAAAUUUAAAAAAAAAAAUCCCGCUCAAAUACGUACAAUAGUCAUACUACAUAAAAAAAAAAAAAAGAAAAAAAAAAAAAAAGAUGAACUAAAUAGGAUGUCUAAAAUUUUAUUCACAUUAUACCUAAGCUAGGUGUAAUAUAUUGAACUUUAGACCAUCCAAUAUCCUUUAACCUUUCUCACAAGAAAGUUGAGUAUGACAUCCAUAAUAACAAAAGGUUAGUUUUUAACUUUAAAGUGAUCUAAAUGUAUGUAUGCACUCAAACCCAACACAUAUUCAAUUCCUUAACCCUUAAGCCAAAUAACCAAUAAUCAUCAUAUAAUAAAGUGAACUAAUUAAAUCAUUGAACUUGUACAUAAAAAGGUGUUAGCCUAUUCAUUAAGUUAGGACAAAAAAAAAACAUACAAGAGAUCAAAUAGUAAUGGAAGAUAAUUCUAGUACCAAAGAAAGAUUAUCCCAUGUUAGCUCUUCAAUAACACACAAAAUAGGAGACUUCUUUCAUUGUCUACACCUUCCAAGGUCUCUAACAGUGCCAGCAAUAAUACUAGGUUGUCUUCUCUUGCUUCUCUUAUGUUGUUGCUGUUGUUCCAAAAGAUCCGAAAGACCUCCUAGGAUGAUGAUGGUUAAGCAAUAAGUAUGUUAGCUUUGCUGCUUUUGAGCCGGGGUUUGAGUUUCUAGAUGCAAGCUCUAAUGGAAUGACUAGCCGAAGGACAAAAUUCAAGGUAGAUCAUCAAGUUUUGAAAUAGGCUAUAUGGGUUCGACUUUGUGUCUUCACAUAGUUAAUUAAGGAGCUUAGGAUCUAGCAAUAUGGCUAUAGUAAGGGCUUAUUAUAUAGAAAUGUUAGGGUUUUUAAAUUUUCAUAUGUACAAAUAAACGGCUUUUUUUUUGGGAUAUUAGUUCAGUUUCAUUAUGGUAAUUAGGUUCAUCUAGGUUGAGAUUGGAAAUUCCCUAGUAUCUUGUACUUUUUUUUUUUGAAUAGUCCCUAGUAUUUUGUACUUUGAUUAUGCAUAUAUAGCCAUUUUGUAUAUGGUUGAUAAAUGUGAAAAAAAAUGAAGGUGGUCUCUAUAAUUGAUUAAAGUACUUGUAUAUGGCUAGUACGUAGGUUGUAUAUAUCAAGUAAAGCCGUAAAAGUUUUAUGAAUUAAGAUGAAUCAUAUAUUUAGUAUUUCGAAUUUAUGUAAGAUUGAUUUUUCUUGA